UACGGAGGGAGCUAGCGUUGUUCGGAAUUACUGGGCGUAAAGCGCACGUAGGCGGCUUUUUAAGUCAGGGGUGAAAUCCCGGGGCUCAACCCCGGAACUGCCUUUGAAACUGCAGAGCUAGAAUCCUGGAGAGGUGAGUGGAAUUCCGAGUGUAGAGGUGAAAUUCGUAGAUAUUCGGAAGAACACCAGUGGCGAAGGCGACUCACUGGACAGGUAUUGACGCUGAGGUGCGAAAGCGUGGGGAGCAAACAGG
rnacentral:rRNA from 1 species